GAUGACAAUAAUUUUUUUUAUCUCCUCUACGGGUUAUUGGUUGUGUCUUACCACUGUUGACCAUUUUUCAGAUUAAUAGCACUGCUGUUCCAAUCCAGUGAUCCAGAACUGACAUAAUAUUAUAGUCCUUGAAGAAACCAUGUGUCAUGUUUUUAUUUUUCUGUACCAUAUGCAGUUGGAAAUGGUACAUCUUGCAUCACAAAAGCCACUCAACAAUGGCUUAAUAGUGGAGGUAUUCAUGGACUGUCCAUGCUUCCUACCAUACAGAAGCACCAGGUUUAUACCAAGGGAGAAAUUGCUGAGCCAUAUGCUAUUUAAGAGUUUUAC
rnacentral:lncRNA from 13 species